rnacentral:lncRNA from 1 species
UUAGUUAGAGCAAAAAAAAGAAAAAAGAAAAAAAAAUAUUUGGGGUUUUCGGGCUUCCUGAAGGUAAUACCCGGGUUUUAGGUUAUGGGGCUAGGGUAAGGUUUAAGGUUUUUGGAGUUAGGGUUAAAAUCACUGUCCACAAUCUUUGUAGGAAAGAGUUUCAGACCUUUUGGAGUUAGUUACAACAAAAAAGAUGUAAAAUGAAAAAAAUAUAUUUGGGGUGUUCGGGCUUCCUGAAGGUAAUACCCGGGUAUUAGGUAAUGGGGCUUUGGAAAGGUUUAAGGUUUUUGGCGUUAGGGUUAAUAUCACUGUCCAAAACCUUUGUAAGACUCUUUUCCAACCUUUUGGAGUUAGUGAGACCAAAAAAAAAAGGAAAAAUAAAAAAAAAGAUAUUUGGGGUUUUCGGCUUCCUGAAGGUCAUACCCGGGUAUUAGGUUAUGGGGCUAUGAUCAGGUUAAAGGUUUUUGGUGUGAGGGUUAAAUCACUGUCCAAAACCUUAGUAGGAACUCUUUUCCAACCUUUUGGAGUCAGUUAGACCCAAAAGAAAUGAAAAAUGAAAAAAAAAUAUUUGGGGUUUUCGGGCUUUCUGAGGGUAAUACCCGGGUAUUAGGUUAUGGUGCUAGGGUAAGGUUUAAGGUUUUUGUAGUCAGGGUUAAAAUCACUGUCCAAAACCUUUGUAGGAACUCUUUUCCAACCUUUUGGAGUUAGUUACCCCAAAAAAAUGAAGAAUGAAAAAAAAAUAUUUGGGGUUUUCGGGCUUUCUGAGGGUAAUACCCGGGUAUUAGGUUAUGGUGCUAGGGUAAGGUUUAAGGUUUUUGGAGUCAGGGUUAAAAUCACUGUCCAAAACCUUUGUAGGAACUCUUUUCCAACCUUUUGGAGUAAAUUAGACCUAAAAAAAACGAAAAAUGAAAAAAAAAUGUUUGGGGUGUUGGGGCUUCCUGAAGGUAAUUAGGUUAUGGGGCUUUGGUAAGGUUUAAGGUUUUUGGCAUUAGGGUUAAAAUCACUGUCCAAAACCUUUGUAGGAACUCUUUUCCAACCUUUUGGAGUUAGUUAGACCUAAAAAAAACCAAAAAUGAAAAAAAAAAUGUUUGGGGUGUUCGGGCUUCCUGAAGGUAGUAUUAGGUUAUGGGGCUUUGGUAAGGUUUAAGGUUUUUGACGUUAGGGUUAAAAUCACUGUCCAAAACCUUUUUAGGAACAUGUUUCAGACCUUAUGGAGGUAGUUACACCAAAAAAAAAUUGUAAAAUGAAAAAGAAAUAUUUGGGGUGUUAGGGCUUCCUGAAGGUAAUACCCGGGUAUUAGGUUAUGGGGCUUUGGUAAGGUUUAAGGUUUUUGGCAUUAGGGUUAAAAUCACUGUCCAAAACCUUUGUAGGAACUCUUUUCCAACCUUUUGGAGUUAGUUAGACCUAAAAAAAACGAAAAAUGAAAAAAAAAUGUUUGGGGUGUUCGGGCUUCCUGAAGGUAAUACCCGGUUAUUAGGUUAUGGGGCUAGGGUAAGGUUUAAGGUUUUUGGCGUUAGGGUUAAAAUCACUGUCCAAAACUUUUGUAGGAACUCUCUUCCAACCUUUUGGAGUCAGUUAGACCCAAAAGAAAUGAAAAAUGAAAAAAAAAUGUUUGGGGUGUUCGGGCUUCCUGAAGGUAAUACCCAGGUAUUAGGUUAUGGGGCUAGGGAAAGGUUUAAUGUUUUUGGCGUUAGGGUUAAAAUCACUGUCCAAAACCUUUUUAGGAACAUGUUUCAGACCUUAUGGAGUUAGUUACACAAAAAAAAAAAAAUUGUAAAAUUAAAAAGAAAUAUUUGAGGUGUUCGGGCUUCCUGAAGGUAAUACCCGGGUAUUAGGUUAUGGGGCUUUGGUAAGGUUUAAGGUUUUUGGCAUUAGGGUUCAAAUCACUGUCCAAAACCUUUUUAGGAACUCUUUUCCAACCUUUUGGAGUUAGUUAGACCUAAAAAAAAACGAAAAAUGAAAAAAAAAUGUUUGGGGUGUUGGGGCUUCCUGAAGGUAAUUAAGUUAUGGGGCUUUGGUAAGGUUUAAGGUUUUUGGCAUUAGGGUUAAAAUCACUGUCCAAAACCUUUGUAGGAACUCUUUUUUAACCUUUUGGAGUUAGUAAGAUCUAAAAAAAACCAAAAAUGAAAAAAAAAUGUUUGGGGUGUUCGGGCUUCCUGAAGGUAGUAUUAGGUUAUGGGGCUUUGGUAAGGUUUAAGGUUUUUGGCGUUAAGGUUAAAAUCACUGUCCAAAACCUUUGUAGGAACUCUUUUCCAACCUUUUGGAGUUAGUUAGACCCAAAAUAAAUGAAAAAUGAAAAAAAAAUAUUUGGGGUUUUCGGGCUUUCUGAAGGUAAUACCCGGGUAUUAGGUUAUGGGGCUAGGGUAAAGUUUAAGGUUUUUGGCGUUAGGGUUAAAAUCACUGUCCAAAACCUUUGUAGGAACUCUUUUCCAACCUUUUGGAGUUAGUUACACCAAAAAAAAAAAAAAAAUGUAAGAUGAAAAAGGAAUAUUUGGGGUGUUCGGGCUUCCUGAAGGUAAUACCCGGGUAUUAGGUUAUGGGGCUUUGGUAAGGUUUAAGGUUUUUUGGCAUUAGGGUUAAAAUCACUGUCCAAAGCCUUUGUAGGAACUCUUUUCUAACCUUUUGGAGUUAGUUAGACCCAAAAGAAAUGAAAAAUGAAAAAAAAAAUUGGGGGUUUUCGGGCUUCCUGAAGGUAAUACCUGGGUAUUAGGUUAUGGGGCUAGGGUAAGGUUUAAGGUUUUUGGCGUUAGGGUUAAAAUCACUGUCCACAAUCUUUGUAGGAAAAAGUUUCAGACCUUUUGGAGUUAGUUACAAAAAAAAAAUGUAAAAUGAAAAAAAUAUAUCUGGGGUGUUCGGGCUUCCUGAAGGUAAUACCCGGGUAUUAGGUAAUGGGGCUUAUGAAAUGUUUAAGGUUUUUGGCGUUAGGGUCAAUAUCACUUUCCAAAACCUUUGUAGGAACUCUUUUCCAACCUUUUGGAGUUAGUUAGACCUAAAAAAAACCAAAAAUGAAAAAAAAAAUGUUUGAGGUGUUCGGGCUUCCUGAAGGUAGUAUUAGGGUUAUGGGGCUUUGGUAAGGUUUAAGGUUUUUGGCGUUAGGGUUAAAAUCACUGUCCAAAACCUUUGUAGGAACUCUUUUCCAACCUUUUGGAGUUAGUUAGACCAAAAAAAAAGAAAAAAUGUAAAAUGAAAAAGGAAUAUUUGGGGUUUUCGGGCUUCCUGAAGGUAAUACCCGGGUAUUAGGUUAUGGGGCUUUUGUAAGGUUUAAGGUUUUUUGGCAUUAGGGUUAAAAUCACUGUCCAAAGCCUUUGUAGGAACUCUUUUCUAACCUUUUGGAGUUAGUUAGACCCAAAAGAAAUGAAAAAUGAAAAAAAAUUGGGGGUUUUCGGGCUUCCUGAAGGUAAUACCCGGGUAUUAGGUUCUGGGGCUAGGGUAAGGUUCAAGGUUUUUGGCGUUAGGGUUAAAAUCACUGUCCAAAACCUUUGUAGGAACUCUUUCCCAACCUUUUGGAGUUAGUUAGACCCAAAAGAAAUGAAAAAUGAAAAAAAAAUAUUUGGGGUUUUCGGGCUUCCUAAAGGUAAUACCCGGGUAUUAGGUUAUGGGGCUAGGGUAAGGUUUAAGGUUUUUGGCGUUAGGGUUAAAAUCACUGUCCAAAACCUUUUUAGGAACAUGUUUAAGACCUUAUGGAGUUAGUUACACAAAAAAAAAAAAAUUGUAAAAUUAAAAAGAAAUAUUUGAGGUGUUCGGGCUUCCUGAAGGUAAUACCCGGGUAUUAGGUUAUGGGGCUUUGGUAAGGUUUAAGGUUUUUGGCAUUAGGGUUAAAAUAACUGUCCAAAACCUUUUUAGGAACUCUUUUCCAACCUUUUGGAGUUAGUUAGACCUAAAAAAAAAGAAAAAUGAAAAAAAAAUGUUUGGGGUGUUGGGGCUUCCUGAAGGUAAUUAAGUUAUGGGGCUUUGGUAAGGUUUAAGGUUUUUGGCAUUAGGGUUAAAAUCACUGUCCAAAACCUUUGUAGGAACUCUUUUCCAACCUUUUGGAGUUAGUUAGACCUAAAAAAAACCAAAAAUGAAAAAAAAAUGUUUGGGGUGUUCGGGCUUCCUGAAGGUAGUAUUAGGUUAUGGGGCUUUAGUAAGGUUUAAGGUUUUUGGCGUUAAGGUUAAAAUCACUGUCCAAAACCUUUGUAGGAACUCUUUUCCAACCUUUUGGAGUUAGUUAGACCCAAAAUAAAUGAAAAAUGAAAAAAAAAUAUUUGGGGUUUUCGGGCUUCCUGAAGGUAAUACCCGGGUAUUAGGUUAUGGGGCUAGGGUAAGGUUUAAGGUUUUUGGCGUUAGGGUUAAAAUCACUGUCCAAAACCUUUGUAGGAACUCUUUUCCAACCUUUUGGAGUUAGUUAGACCCAAAAGAAAUGAAAAAUGAAAAAAAAAUAUUUGGGGUUUUCGGGCUUCCUGAAGGUAAUACCCGGGUAUUAGGUUAUGGGGCUAGGGUAAGGUUUAAGGUUUUUGGCGUUAGGGUUAAAAUCACUGUCCAAAACCUUUUUAGGAACAUGUUUAAGACCUUAUGGAGUUAAUUACACAAAAAAAAAUUGUAAAAUUAAAAAGAAAUAUUUGAGGUAUUCGGGCUUCCUGAAGGUAAUACCCGGGUAUUAGGUUAAGGGGCUUUGGUAAGGUUUAAGGUUUUUGGCAUUAGGGUUAAAAUCACUGUCCAAAACCUUUGUAGGAACUCUUUUCCAACCUUUUGGAGUUAGUUAGUUAGACCUAAAAAAAACGAAAAAUGAAAAAAAAAUGUUUGGGGUGUUGGGGCUUCCUGAAGGUAAUUAGGUUAUGGGGCUUUGGUAAGGUUUAAGGUUUUUGGCAUUAGGGUUAAAAUCACUGUCCAAAACCUUUGUAGGAACUCUUUUUUAACCUUUUGGAGUUAGUUAGACCUAAAAAAAACCAAAAAUGAAAAAAAAAUGUUUGGGGUGUUCGGGCUUCCUGAAGGUAGUAUUAGGUUAUGGGGCUUUAGUAAGGUUUAAGGUUUUUGGCGUUAAGGUUAAAAUCACUGUCCAAAACCUUUGUAGGAACUCUUUUCCAACCUUUUGGAGUUAGUUAGACCCAAAAUAAAUGAAAAAUGAAAAAAAAAUAUUUGGGGUUUUCGGGCUUUCUGAAGGUAAUACCCGGGUAUUAGGUUAUGGGGCUAGGGUAAAGUUUAAGGUUUUUGGCGUUAGGGUUAAAAUCACUGUCCAAAACCUUUGUAGGAACUCUUUUCCAACCUUUUGGAGUUAGUUACACCAAAAAAAAAAAAAAAAAUGUAAGAUGAAAAAGGAAUAUUUGGGGUGUUCGGGCUUCCUGAAGGUAAUACCCGGGUAUUAGGUUAUGGGGCUUUGGUAAGGUUUAAGGUUUUUUGGCAUUAGGGUUAAAAUCACUGUCCAAAACCUUUGUAGGAACUCUUUUCCAACCUUUUGGAGUUAGUUAGACCCAAAAGAAAUGAAAAAUGAAAAAAAAAAUUGGGGGUUUUCGGGCUUCCUGAAGCUAAUACCCGGGUAUUAGGUUUUGGGGCUAGGGUAAGGUUUAAGGUUUUUGGCGUUAGGGUUAAAAUCACUGUCCACAAUCUUUGUAGGAAAAAGUUUCAGACCUUUUGGAGUUAGUUACAAAAAAAAAAAUGUAAAAUGAAAAAAAUAUAUCUAGGGUGUUCGGGCUUCCUGAAGGUAAUACCCGGGUAUUAGGUAAUGGGGCUUAUGAAAUGUUUAAGGUUUUUGGCGUUAGGGUCAAUAUCACUGUCCAAAACCUUUGUAGGAACUCUUUUCCAACCUUUUGGAGUUAGUUAGACCUAAAAAAAAAGAAAAAAUGUAAAAUGAAAAAGGAAUAUUUGGGGUGUUCGGGCUUCCUGAAGGUAAUACCCGGGUAUUAGGUUAUGGGGCUUUGGUAAGGUUUAAGGUUUUUUGGCAUUAGGGUUAAAAUCACUGUCCAAAACCUUUGUAGGAACUCUUUUCUAACCUUUUGGAGUUAGUUAGACCCAAAAGAAAUGAAAAAUGAAAAAAAAAAUUGGGGGUUUUCGGGCUUCCUGAAGGUAAUACCCGGGUAUAAGGUUCUGGGGCUAGGGUAAGGUUCAAGGUUUUUGGCGUUAGGGUUAAAAUCACUGUCCAAAACCUUUGUAGGAACUCUUUCCCAACCUUUUGGAGUUAGUUAGACCCAAAAGAAAUGAAAAAUGAAAAAAAAAUAUUUGGGGUUUUCGGGCUUCCUAAAGGUAAUACCCGGGUAUUAGGUUAUGGGGCUAGGGUAAGGUUUAAGGUUUUUGGCGUUAGGGUUAAAAUCACUGUCCAAAACCUUUGUAGGAACUCUUUUCCAACCUUUUGGAGUUAGUUACACCAAAAAAUAAAAAAAGUAAAAUGAAAAAGGAAUAUUUGGGGUGUUCGGGCUUCCUGAAGGUAAUACCCGGGUGUGAGGGAGCUGGAAACCCCUCCCCUCACUGAGGUGAAGUCGGUACAAUACCUGACUAUUCAUGGACAUGGUUUUUGUUUAUUUUAUUGUUAAACACUGCUAACCUCUCCUCUCUUCGAGGUCACCAUCUUGUGGGGGCGUGUCCGCAUUGAGUGCACACAUGGGGAUGCAGCAAACAGGUCCCAGCAGUAGCAAAUCAGCUUGUUAGGCUGGGUUAGUGAGCAGAGAAAGGGGGAGGGGUAGAGUUAUUUAGUGGGAUUUAGCUUUAGUUUGGUCUGUUUCGGGUUAUUUAGCUAUUUUGGGUUAAUUUAUAUUCAUUUAUGUUCUUCCUAUUAAGUAUUAGGGUCAUUGUAUAUCCGGAUUAAGUUAGUUGUUAGAGGUCAGAUCUGCACAUACCUAUCACUGUCAUGCAGGUGAGAGAAAGAGGGAGGGGGGAGCAGGUGAGAGAGCCCCACUCAGCUUAAAAGUGGACACACCUGUGUGAGUGGGGAGAGGUGUGGGUGGCUUUCUGCAGCCUGCUACUCAGAGGAUGAUCAUUGUUAAGACUGCUGUGUGUGAUCACUUGGAUUUAUUAAAAAUAUCAGAGCUCUGAAACCUGCUGUCGGACACCAUCCUUUUUUCCUCAUGCUGGAGAUCUUCACUACCGCUUGGUUCCAUUCCGUUUAGAGGUUUUAUGACCAUCAAAACCUUACACCGGGUAUUAGGGUAUGGGGCUUUGGUAAGGUUUAAGGUUUUUUGGCAUUAGGGUUAAAAUCACUGUCCAAAACCUUUGUAGGAACUCUUUUCCAACCUUUUGGAGUUAGUUAGACCCAAAAGAAAUGAAAGAUGAAAAAAAAAUGUUUGGGGUUUUCGGGCUUCCUGAAGGUAAUACCCGGGUUUUAGGUUAUGGGGCUAGGGUAAGGUUUAAGGUUUUUGGCGUUAGGGUUAAAAUCACUGUCCAAAACCUUUGUAGGAACUCUUUUCCAACCUUUUGGAGUUAAUUAGACCUAAAAAAAACGAAAAAUGAAAAAAAAAUGUUUGGGGUGUUCGGGCUUCCUGAAGGUAAUACCCGGGUUAUGGGGCUUUGGUAAGGUUUAAGGUUUUUGGCGUUAGGGUUAAAAUCACUGUCCAAAACCUUUGUAGGAACUCUUUUCCAACCUUUUAGAGUUAGUUAGACCCAAAAGAAAUGAAAGAUGAAAAAGAAAUAUUUGGGGUUUUCGGGCUUCCUGAAGGUAGUACCCGGGUAUUAGGUUAUGGGGCUAGGGUAAGGUUUAAGGUUUUUGGCGUUAGGGUUAAAAUCACUGUCAAAAACCUUUUUAGGAACAUGUUUCAGACCUAAUGGAGUUAGUUACACCAAAAAAAAAAAUUGUAAAAUGAAAAAAAAAUGUUUGGGGUGUUCGGGCUUCCUGAAGGUAAUACCCGGGUAUUAGGUUAUGAGGCUUUGGUAAGGUUUAAGGUUUUUGGCAUUAGGGUUAAAAUCACUGUCCAAAACCUUUGUAGGAACUCUUUUCCAAACUUUUGGAGUUAGUUAGACCUAAAAAAAACGAAAAAUGAAAAAAAAAUGUUUGGGGUGUUCGGGCUUCCUGAAGGUAAUACCCGGGUAUUAGAUUAUGGGGCUUUGGAAAGGUUUAAGGUUUUUGGCGUCAGGGUUAAAAUCACUGUCCAAAACCUUUGUAGGAACUCUUUUCCAACCUUUUGGAGUUAGUUAGUCAAAAAAAAAACGAAAAAUGAAAUACAUUUUUUUUGGGUGUUUAGGCUUCCUAAAGGUAAUACCCGGGUAUUAGGUUUCGGGGAUAGGGUUAAAAUCACUGUCCAAAACCUUUUUAGGAACAUGUUUCAGACCUUUUGAAGUUAGUUAGACCAAAAAAAACGAAAAUUAAAAAAUAAACUUUGGGGGAUGUAGGGCUUCCUUUAGGUAAUACCUUCCUUUAGGUAUUAGGUUACAGUUUAAAGGUUUUUGGCGUUAGGGUUAAAAUCACUGUCCAAAACCUUUGUAGGAUCUCUUUUCCAACCUAUAAUAAUAAUAAUAAUAAUAUUAAUAAUAAUUUUGCUUAUUGAGAAGGACUAGGUGGUAUUAGUAGGGAGGGAAUAGGGUGAAUUUUUACCUAUAGGGUGCAUUAGUGCAAAGUCUCAGAGGAUGGGGGAGAGAGAAACAGGCUGUUGGGACUGCAACCAUUCUGCUUCUACAGGGAUUCGAGUGAUAGAGAGAGAAUCGAACUUGCCACAGUGACUAGCCAGAGAAACUCUCCUCACCUGUUGGUUUUCAUCCUCUGAUAUGAAAAAAGAGGGUGGGGGUGAUGAAGCUAAGAUAGAGGUUAGUAAGGUUAGGGUAAGGGUUAGGGGUUAGGGUUAGGGUUUAGAGGUUCGGGUUAGGGUAAGGGUUAGGGUUAGGGUUCGGGGUUAGGGUUAGAUUUAGGGUUUAGAGGUUAGGGUAAGGGUUAGGGGUUAGGAUUAUUUAGGGUUUAGAGGUUAGGGUUAGGGUUAGGCUAGGGUUAGGGUUAGGGGUUAGGGUUAGGGUGAGGGUAAGGGUUAGUGUCUGUAGGGAGCUAUCCGUGGCUAUUUGGAAGAAUUGAAAUUCAUUACGGAAUACAACACUUCAGAUUGUCUAGACUCUGGACUCUGUUGAAGGUAGCAAAGCUAUGGUUGGAAGUAAUGAAAUUGCAGUAUAAAAUAUAAGGCUAGUUAUAAAUUGUAAUUGUAAAGUAUUAUUUCAGAGUCAAAAGUGGACAGUUCCGUCUAGAACUCCUUCCACCCAGGCCUGUCUAGGCCAUGGACUCUGCUAAACUCCCUAACGCUGUGACCUAAAAAUUAUUUAGAUUAAAUUGGAAAUAUUUAUGAAUUGUUAUUUAGAAAUUAUUAAUUCAGAGUCAAAAGUGGAUGGUUCUGUCUGGAACCCCUUCCACCCAGGCCUGUCUAGGCCAUAGACUCUGCUAAACUCCAGAUCGCUGUAACCUAAAAUUAUUUUAGAUUAAAUCAGAAAUAUUUAUAAAUUAUUCUUCAUAAAUUAUUAUUCAGAGUCAAAAGUGGAUGGUUCUGUCUGGAACCCCUUCCACCCAGGCCUGUCUAGGCCAUAGACUUUGCUAAACUCCCUAACGCUGUGACCUAAAAUUAUUUUAUAUUAAAUUGCAAAUAUUUUUAAAUUAUUUCAAAAUUAUUUCAAAAUAUAUUAUUUCUUAUUUCAGAAUCAAAAGUGGAUGGUUCUGUCUGGAAGCCCUUCCAUUCAGGCCUGUCUAGGCUUUAGACUCUGCUAAGCUCCCUCAAGGCAGUGACCUAAGAUUAUUUUAGAUUAAAUUGGAAAUAUUUAUGAAUUAUUAUUUAGAAAUUAUGAAUUCGGAGUCAAAAGUGGAUGGUUCUGUCUGGAACCCCUUCCACCCAGGCCUGUCUAGGCCAUAGACUCUGCUAAACUCCCUAACGCUGUGACCUAAAAUUAUUUUAGAUUAAAUCAGAAAUAUUUAUAAAUUAUUCUUCAUAAAUUAUUAUUCAGAGUCAAAAGUGGAUGGUUUUGUCUGGAACCCCUCCCACCCAGGCCUGUCUAGGCCAUAGACUCUGCUAAACUCCCUAACGCUGUGACCUAAAAUUAUUUUAUAUUAAAUUGCAAAUAUUUUUAAAUUAUUUCAAAAUUAUUUCAAAAUAUAUUAUUUCUUAUUUCAGAGUCAAAAGUGGAUGGUUCUGUCUGGAAGCCCUUCCACUCAGGACUGUCUAGGCUUUAGACUCUGCUAAGCUCCCUCAAGGCUGUGACCUAAGAUUAUUUUAGAUUAAAUUGGAAGUAUUUAUGAAAUAUUAUUUAGAAAUUAUUAAUUAGGAGUCAAAAGUGGAUGGUUCUGUCUGGAACCCCUUCCACCCAGGCCUGUCUAGGCCAUAGACUCUGCUAAACUCCCUAACGCUGUGACCUAAAAUUAUUUUAGAUUAAAUCAGAAAUAUUUAUAAAUUAUUCUUCAUAAAUUAUUAUUCAGAGUCAAAAGUGGAUGGUUUUGUCUGGAACCCCUCCCACCCACGCCUGUCUAGGCCAUAGACUCUGCUAAACUCCCUAACGCUAUGACCUAAAAUUAUUUUAUAUUAAAUUGCAAAUAUUUUUAAAUUAUUUCAAAAUUAUUUCAAAAUAUAUUAUUUCUUAUUUCAGAGUCAAAAGUGGAUGGUUCUGUCUGGAAGCCCUUCCACUCAGGCCUGUCUAGGCUUUAGACUCUGCUAAGCUCCCUCAAGGCUGUGACCUAAGAUUAUUUUAGAUUAAAUUGGAAGUAUUUAUGAAAUAUUAUUUAGAAAUUAUUAAUUAGGAGUCAAAAGUGGAUGGUUCUGUUUGGAACCCCUUCCACCCAGGCCUGUCUAGGCCAUAGACUCUGCUAAACUCCCUAACGCUGUGACCUAAAAUUAUUUAAAAUUAAAUCAGAAAUAUUUAUAAAUUAUUCUUCAUAAAUUAUUAUUCAGAGUCAAAAGUGGAUGGUUCUGUCUGGAACCCCUUCAACCCAGGCCUGUCUAGGCCAUAGACUCUGCUAAACUCCCUAACGCUGUGACCUAAAAUUAUUUUAUAUUAAAUUGCAAAUAUUUAUAAAUUAUUUCAAAAUUAUUUCAAAAUAUAUUAUUUCUUAUUCAUGAGUCAAAAGUGGAUGGUUCUGUCUGGAAGCCCUUCCACUCAGGCCUGUCUAGGCUUUAGACUCUGCUAAGCUCCCUCAAGGCUGUGACCUAAGAUUAUUUUAGAUUAAAUUGAAAAUAUUUAUAAAUUAUUCUUUAUAAAUCAUUAUUCAGAGUCAAAAGUGGAUGGUUCUGUCUGGAACCCCUUCCGCUCAGGCCUGUCUGGGCCAUAGACUCUGCUAAAAUCCCUAACGCUGUGACCUAAAAUUAUUUUAGAUCAAAUCGGAAAUAUUUAUGAAUUAUUAUUUAUAAAUUAUUAUUCAGAGUCAAAAGUGGACGGUUCUGUCUGGAACCCCUUCCACUUAGGCCUGUCUAGGCCAAAGACUCUGCUAAACUCCCUUGUUUUAGAUGGAUAAGUUUUGAGUUAGGUGGAGAUUUUUUAUAUAGAUUAUGUAGGACCUAGGGUUCACUGUAAAUUAUUAUUUCAGAGUUAGAAAGUGAGAAGAAUUUUAGUUUAUUUAGGUAUUGGACUAUUUUAAAGUUGUCAUCCAUGGAAUCCAUGCGAUCCAAGUAAGGCUGGCUCCCAAAUUGU